rnacentral:rRNA from 1 species
UACGUAGGGUGCGAGCGUUGUCCGGAAUUAUUGGGCGUAAAGAGCUCGUAGGCGGUUUGUCGCGUCUGCUGUGAAAACUGGGGGCUCAACCCCCAAGCCUGCAGUGGGUACGGGCAGACUAGAGUGUGGUAGGGGAGACUGGAAUUCCUGGUGUAGCGGUGAAAUGCGCAGAUAUCAGGAGGAACACCGGUGGCGAAGGCGGGUCUCUGGGCAGUAACUGACGCUGGAGGAGCGAAAGCGUGGGGAGCGAACAGG